GACGAACGCUGGCGGCGCGCCUAACACAUGCAAGUCGAGCGAUGAACAUUGAAUGAUCCCUUCGGGGUGAUUUCGAUCGGAUUAGCGGCGAACGGGUGAGUAACGCGUGAGGAACCUGCCUCUUACAACGGGAUAGCCUCGGGAAACCGGGAUUAAUACCGUAUAAGACUCCGACAUCUCCUGAUGAUGAAGUCAAAGCGUUAACGGUAAGAGAUGGCCUCGCGUCUGAUUAGCUUGUUGGCGGGGUAACGGCCCACCAAGGCGACGAUCAGUAACCGGCCUGAGAGGGUGAACGGUCACAUUGGAACUGAGACACGGUCCAAACUCCUACGGGAGGCAGCAGUGGGGAAUCUUGCACAAUGGGGGCAACCCUGAUGCAGCGACGCCGCGUGAGCGAUGAAGGUUUUCGAAUCGUAAAGCUCUGUCCUAUGGGAAGAUAAUGACGGUACCAUGGGAGGAAGCCCCGGCUAACUACGUGCCAGCAGCCGCGGUAAUACGUAGGGGGCGAGCGUUGUCCGGAAUUACUGGGCGUAAAGGGUUCGCAGGCGGCAUGGCAAGUCCGAUGUAAAAGGCGAAGGCUCAACCUUCGUAAGCAUCGGAAACUGUCAAGCUUGAGUGAAGGAGAGGCAAGUGGAAUUCCUAGUGUAGCGGUGGAAUGCGUAGAUAUUAGGAGGAAUACCGGUGGCGAAGGCGACUUGCUGGACUUCAACUGACGCUGAGGAACGAAAGCGUGGGUAGCAAACAGG
rnacentral:rRNA from 1 species